GCUCUCCCAUCAUCACCAGGAACUGAAGGGUACAGCACCGGGAAACGAAGGAUGGACAAGGCGCCAUACUUCCUUGUACUUACCAUCAGGGCAGCUGGAAAACUGUGGGUACUGCUGGUCUGAACCUGGCUCCAUUGUAGUGCCAUUAGUGCAGAUGGUUGGAGGUUUUACUGGAGCUUUCAGCCCAGAAGGAUCAGGACACCCAAGGAGUUUGUAAACCUUCACCCAAGUUUGUAUUAAUGGCUUUCAACCAGUGUGUCAGUCUGACCAAUUCAUUACAGAUUGAACAGCUCAAAGACUGCCUGAGCAGCAACAGAACUGCCAGCAUCCUUAGUUGUCUUUCUGAAGGCUGCCAGGCCUACCAUGUUUUCCUCAUUCUCUUCCCCCCACCCCACCACCACCCUUUCGAGGGCUUGUUCAAAUGAUGUGUGAUCUUGAAACAUCAAUUUCAGUCUCCAGUUUGAAUCAGAUUGAAACAAGGAUGAAAUGAGGGUAAGGGGCUGCUGUCAUGUCCAAUUCACUUGGAAUAAAUGAGUACCAAACACCAUGCCCUUAGUAUGCAACUGUGAAAGCCAUUUGGAAUCUGUAACACAGCAAACUCUGCUGCCCAAGAUUUGACAGCUUCGUGUUUAGAUGUGUGUGCUCAAAAGAGAGUUACAAUGUACUGUUGUUAUGUGCCUUCAAGCUGAUUAUGACUUAUGGUGACCCUAUGAAUCAGCGACCUCCAACAGCAUCUGUCGUGAACCACCCUGUUCAGUUCUUCUAAGUUCAGUCCCUGGUAUCUGCAAAGCUCUCCUCCAACACCACAUUUCAAAUAAGUUAAUUUUUCUCUUACCUGGUUAUUCACCGUCCAAUUUUCACAUCCAUACGUAGAGAUCGGGAAUACCAUGUUCUGAAUGAUCCUGAGUUUGGUGUUCAGUGAUACAUCUUUGCAUUUGAGGAUCUUUUCUAGUUCUCUCAUAGCUACCCUCCACAGUCCUAGCCUUCUAAUUUUUUUACUAUUGUCUCGUUUGGUUAAUGACUGUGCCAAAGUAUUGAUAAUC